CAUUACUGAUUCUGCCUGGCGUGUCCGCUAACGCGUUGACUCGCUGGGAUUGACCCCUUGUGCAGAACCUUUGUGGUUUGGGCUGGGAAACCGGCCCUAUAGAAAACACUUUGAACCUAGAGUAAGCCUUAAGAGCAAACCGAAACAACUUUUGACAACGGAUCUCUUGGCUCUCGCAACGAUGAAGAACGCAGCGAAAUGCGAUACGUGAUGUGAAUUGCAGAAUCUCGUGAAUCAUCGAAUCUUUGAACGCACCUUGCACUCUAUUCUGUAGAGUAUGCCUGUUUGAGAAUCUAAUGUAUCUAUUCCCUCUUGGGAGUCUUGAGGCUUCUCUGCGGAGUGUCUUGAAUUGCCUUACCUGGCCGGCUCGACUGAACCGUAUAUGCAUGGAGCUUCGGCUUCUUAGUAUGCUUACUAUGCGAGCCAUCACCAGUCAUUAACAACCUUUCGGGGUGAACCAUGGUCUCAAAUCAGGUAGGACUACCCGCUGAACUUAAGCAUAUCAAUAA
rnacentral:rRNA from 1 species